UGCUUAGCUCAGUCGGUUAGAGCACUUGACUGUUAAUCAAGGUGUCGCCUGUUCGAGUCAGGCAGCGGGCGCCA
rnacentral:tRNA from 1 species